GAGGUCCCCAGUUCAAAUCUGAUUGGCCGCUUAGGACUUGGCAGAUUUUGAAUCACAAUAGAACUUUAGAACUUUUUUUUUAAAGGGAAGAUGUUGUUGUUUGAUAGUCUCAAAAUUUUGGAUCUAAUUUCAUGUAUGGAGUUUUGAGCUGCUUGAUGUGUGGGGGGAUAGCUCAGUGGUAGAGCAUUUGACUGCAGAUCAAGAGGUCCCCAGUUCAAAUCUGGGUGCCCCCUAUGGAGUUGGCAGAUCUGGAGUCACAAUAGAACUUUUUUUUAAAGGGAAGAUGUUGUUGUUUGAUAGUCUCAAAAUUUUGGAUCUAAUUUCCUCUGUGCGGUUUUGGGCUGCUGCUUGUGUGGGGGUGUAUCUCAGUGGUAGAGGAUUUGACUGCAGAUCAAGAGGUCCCCAGUUCAAAUCUGUCAGUCAGAGUGGGACAUAGCUUUAUAUCUAUUGUAAUUAAUCUCUUAACCCGAUAUCAAACUAAAAGAAUCAAUAGUCUUGAGAAAUGUGGGAAUAGAAGUUUCUGUCUUUGUGAGAAAUAGAAGUAUAUAAAGCAAUUUUAUGAACUGACUGACCAAUCUCAACCCCCUGGAUAUCAGUGUGAGUUCUAAUAGUCUCUGCAAAGGGUUCCACAAUUAAGGCAAAAAGAAGAGGGGACAGAGGGCAACCUUGCCUUGUACCUCACCCCAACGGAAAAGGAAGAGAAUGAAGGCCGUUGGUAAUAACACAAGCAGUUGGUGCACAGUAUAGAGUCUGAAUCCAGUUAAUAAAGUCUGUGCCUAAAUUAAACUUGCCCAGCACAUCAAACAUGUAUGCCCAUUCCACCCGGUCAAAUGCCUUUUCUGCGUCUAAGGCACUUGAGUUUUGGAUAUUUGUGAAUACUGUAUUAUAUUUAACAGUUUCCUGACAUUGGAAUAUGACAACCUUUGUUGAAUGAAACCUGUCUGGUCCGGGUUUAUUAGUUGAGGGAGGAGUGAUUAAAGUCUUCUUGCCAACAGCUUGGAUAGCAGCUUACAAUCCAUAUUUAACAAGCUUAUAGGCCUGUAAGAACUGCAUUCAUCUGAUGGUUUUUUUUUUUUUCUGGAUCAAUGAAAUAUGUACCAUGUUUAAGGUAGCCGGUAAACACCCCUUUUUAAAUGAAUCAAUGUACAUGUCUGUUAGAGGUUCUAAAAUAAAUGUACUCAUUUUUUUGUAAAACUCCGGACUAAAACCAUCAGGGCCCGGAGCCUUGCCACCUUUCAGAGACUUAAUUGCCUCUAACACUUCCUCCUUUGUGAUGGGCUUAUUCAGGUCUGCCUGCUGCUACUCAGAUAGACUAGCAAGUUUAAGUUUCGUAUAGCCUUUGCCUUGCAAAAUGCAAUGAGGUCUCCGCCUUUCUUGUUAAGAUUUGGUUUAAGGAUGAACGAGCUGCAUCUAGUUAUUUCUGCAAAACACCUGAGGGGGUGUUAAUAAAUUUAUUCUCUAAAUCCUUAACAAGGCUUUCUAACUCUAGUUGUUUUUCAAUAAGACUUUUUUUCCGAGCAGCCGAAUAAGAUAUUACUGACCCCCUUAUAUAAGCCUUUGCUGUUUCCCAAAGAAGAGAUGGAUCUGUAUCAAGCUACUUGUUGUUUUCCAUAAAAAACAUCCAUUCUUUUUCAAGAAACUCCAAGAAUUUAGGGUUACUGAGCAGUGAAGCUUGUAAUCCCCAAAGGCAAGAUGCUGGGUUGAUAUAAGGUGGAGAGAUGACUGCAUAAACAGAUUUAUGAUUG
rnacentral:lncRNA from 12 species